rnacentral:rRNA from 1 species
UACGGAGGGAGCUAGCGUUGUUCGGAAUUACUGGGCGUAAAGCGCACGUAGGCGGCUUUUUAAGUCAGGGGUGAAAUCCCGGGGCUCAACCCCGGAACUGCCUUUGAUACUGGGUAUCUUGAGUGUGGUAGAGGUGAGUGGAAUUGCGAGUGUAGAGGUGAAAUUCGUAGAUAUUCGCAGGAACACCAGUGGCGAAGGCGGCUCACUGGACCACAACUGACGCUGAGGUGCGAAAGCGUGGGGAGCAAACAGG